rnacentral:rRNA from 1 species
AAACCAACAGGGAGUGCCUUAGUAGCGGCGAGUGAAGCGGCAAGAGCUCAAAUUUGAAAUCUGGUACCUUCGGUGCCCGAGUUGUAAUUUGAAGAAUACAAUCUUGGAAUUGGUCCUUGUCUAUGUUCCUUGGAACAGGACGUCACAGAGGGUGAGAAUCCCGUGCGAUGAGGAUACCUUUUCUUUAUAAGAUGUGUUCGACGAGUCGAGUUGUUUGGGAAUGCAGCUCUAAGUGGGUGGUAAAUUCCAUCUAAAGCUAAAUAUUGGCGAGAGACCGAUAGCGAACAAGUACAGUGAUGGAAAGAUGAAAAGAACUUUGAAAAGAGAGUGAAAAAGUACGUGAAAUUGUUGAAAGGGAAGGGUAUUUGAUCAGACUUGGUAUUUGGGUAUCUCUUCUCCUUGUGGGAGGGGCUCUACCCUUUUACUGGGCCAGCAUCAGUUCUUGUGGCAAGAUAAUCGCAGUUGAAUGUGGCUCUUCGGAGUGUUAUAGCUUCUGUUGAUGUUGCCUACGGGGACUGAGGUCUGCGGGUUUUCCCUAGGAUGCUGGCGUAAUGAUCAAACACCGC